AGAAGAAGAAGAAGAAGAAGAAGAAGAAGAAGAAGAAGAAGAAGAAGAAGAAGAAGAAGAAGAAGAAGAAGAAGAAGAAGAAAUCAAGGCACGUGACUUUCACCAGCGAGAUGCUGGGAGAGCAGGACAUGCAGUGCAGAGAUGAGGUAAUGAACCACAUGGCGGAACAUAGAUUAAAAAAUAUGGGUUAAUUGAGUUAUAAGCCUAAGCUAAAGGCAACUUCCAUAAUUAAUAACAAGUCUCUGAGUCAUUGAUUUGCACGUUGGCGGUCCUGAAGAGAAAGUGCUUACUAUACUGUUCUUUUCUUUUUUCAGGGGCUGGUAGGUAGUCUCUGACAUGGGUGGCCAUCAAAUUUUCUCCCUCCUUUUGUACUGGCGAUACCCAGGAACACGUGUGCGACGAACGGGAAGAAAUAGUCUGUCUAGUCUGUCCCGGGAGAUAACCUGAGGAUACAGGACGACCUUCUCUUUCUGACCACAAGAGGAGUUCAUGCUAGUGGUUUUCUCUGGUUUGAGGAGUAAAUGAGCCAUGUCCCAGAAAUUAAGGAUUUAAGGCACCAUGUGAAGACUAAGGCGAGUUCUAAUUCUUUGGGCAAUGCUGGUAAUAACCCAGGUUGCAGAAUGAUGGUGUAAUCUGACCUCUAGGAACGUGCACAGGAGAGCAGCUGUCCAAAUGCCGUCAUCCUGCGGCUCUCCCCUCCUGCUUUGGAACUUGGGAGCUCAAGACCCUGGAGGGGUUUCCACAUUUUACAGUUCCAGGAAACCUCCCACAAAACCAGCAGCUCCUGCCGUGCUCGGGAACCGUGGCCGUCAUGUUACCUGUAACGAGGCCAGGUUUGACCCCAACAGUGCGGUCCCCUGUAGGACACAGCCUCCUGCUCUUGGUCUAGCACUUAGCGCUGCUCUUGUGGUCUAACACGACCACUGUUUUUUCAUGAAUGGGCCUCGUGGUGUUACCCAGUGUUACUCAACAACCAGACCCAAUUCCACAGUGGGCGUUGCAGAAUAUGUUUCAGGUCUCCUUGGGCCCUGUUUUCCAGUCUACAUUCUCACCACCCCAAUGGUGAGCAUUUCUAGGAUGGCUUCAUAAGUGCUCACAAACCGUCAUAAAAAGAAAAUCACCUCAGGUGGUACUUCUCUCUUGGGAAUGUCUCUACAUGAAGGUGGUAUACUAAGACUGCCAGCAAAAAAAAAAAAGAAAGAAAACAUCUGUCUCCAAA